GUCAGGAGCGGCGGGCCGGGAGGGCGGAGCGGGAGGCGGUCGCUCGUCCUCCUGAGGGGAGCGCCGUCGUUGUUAUAAUGCCAGACUUAGAAAAAGUCAAUUAAACGUUUCUGUAAUACAACUCUUCCCCCUGGGGGCUGACGUGUGUGUCAGAGAGGGCUGCAGUCUCAGGAAGGCGCUCAGUGAAGGCGAUGCCCCCAAGCUGUCAGCCCUGCUUCCUCAGUCCUUGGCGUUAGGCGCAGCUGAGGGGCAGAGUUGGAAGCGGGGCGCGGGGUGCGGCGGGUGAUGUGGCAGACCCUGUGGAGGCGCGGUGACUAUUCCAGAAAUACAGAAGAAAUCUCCAAGUUCUGCAGCUUUUCUGUGACGCAGCUGAUCAGAUCACAGAAAAUUUCUAGGUGGGCAGACAACAAGGAAAAAAAAAGGAUAUUUUGUGAAGAAAAUGCUGUUUUUUUCUUCCUUUCAAGGCUUAUUUGAUAAUUCAUGUAACAUUUGGACACAAUUUUAGCUUCUAACAAAAAUAUGCCGAGUAGUACCUAGUACUUCAGUCUCCCUAAAUAUAUGGAUAUACCUAGUUGUCUACUAAUAUGUAAACCAUCUUUUUUGAAGCUAGCAACAGUAACUCCUACAUGUUGCAGUCUGGUAUACAAGAAAGACCUUUUCUUUACCUGUCUAUUUACAUCUUAAGAAGUAAUGCACUAUUUUAAUGAAAUGAUUAACAGGUAAAAUAUUUUGCAUUACCAAAUUGCAAAUCUCUUACAUUUGCUAUGGUUUUUGUUGCACUGAGUUUAUUUUGUAGCUCUGUAUUUACAUCCAAAUGGUUUGAAUUAGCUGAAGUGAAACUCCCAUACUUCUGAUUUAAUUUUCAGGCAUAUUUGAAAGCUGCCUCCUCUUGUGGCUGAGGAUUGUACUGUAUGUUUCACAGAGACAUGCAAAAUCCUGUAUUUUCUUCGUUCUCUGUCAUCUUUGAAAUUGCCCCAGCUGAACAUAGCUAUUGCAAUGACACAGUUAAUGUGACGGAAGUAGUCCUACACUGCCAACUGUGAUCUAAUGCCUUUGCAGAACUGUGGUUGUUUGGUUUUUUUUUACGUGGUAAGAGAAUCCAGAAAGGAAUACCUAAAAGCAACAGUUGAACUAGUUAAGUAUUUUGAAGUGAAAAUUUGAGGGGAAGCACUAUAAAUUUCGACUGAUUCAUCUGUUUGUACAGUUAACGUUUUGCUCUUUCUGAGGAAAUUGCAUGCAGACAGAAGGAAAUACAAGGCUUUUCGAAAGUGAAACUGCUUUGGAGCUUUGUAUAAUAGUAUAUGUAAAAAUAUUGAAAAGUUACUGCUACAGAAUGACAUGAAAUCAUCGGUCUCAAAAGAUGUCAGGUGCUUUACAGAUCUAUCAUGGAUUUGCUGGGUAGUUGUAAUGUCCCUUCCUUGGAGGAACAGCUGUUGUGUCCCAGGGAAACAUCUUUGCAGAGUGCUUUUUAUAACGUUGCAUCCUCAAGAAGUUUUCUCCGUGAAUCUGUAUGUUAAGGUACAAUUGAGGCUCUGUCUCUGUAGAAUGUGGUCACUAAUAAUGAAAUUGGACUCUGGUGCUUUGAUUUCUGAUCAUGCCUUAAGAUGACAAGCAGUCAGGCUAUGAAAGUGAAACAUACACAGUGUCAAAGAGCUGACCCAGAAGUUUAUGAAAAAGAAGAAAAGUUUUAUCCCAUCGCUGCUGUUUUCAUAGUUACCCUUUCCUUGUCUUUGCUCAGCUAAACAGGCUGACUUAUCACCUCUGCCACCUCCCACUGUUGCCACACUUAGCGCUGACUGAUUAUGCAGCAUGUAGUUUGGAAGGAUGGAAUUGGAAAGCCACCACAUUCUCUAGCGACCAAAACUGACUCAAUGCCCCAACUAGUAACAAUGACCUUUCCAUGAAAUCAUCUCUCUCUUAGCAUUACCUCUCGGUUCUUGGAAAAAGACUGACCGAAAGGAGGAACUGAGCAAUAGCCAUGUCAUUUCAUGAGUAACCAGUUGAAAAUAACUGAGAAUCACUCAGCGUUCCUUGGAGAAUCUUUCUUCAAAUUGACACCUGCCUUAAAAUCGCAGAUCUAACAGACCAUUCUGGCAUGUGUAGAUUUCCUACCAUGUACCUUCAUAUAAAAUUCAAGAGCAUGCUUCACUGUUAUUAAAUUAUGUAUGUUCAGAGGAAGACUAUCCUUCAGCAGUCUUUGAUCUGUAUUUCUGAUCUGGUAUCAUCUGAAGAAUAAUUUACAGUCUGUCUUAAGUGAAGACAUAAUCAGAGGUUAAUCAAGUGCAUUUUGUUUAACUGCAGUCUAAUGAAUCUGUUUAGCUCUCAGAGGAACAAUUACCAACAAAUUUUUGUAUUGGUUUGAUUUUACCUCGGAUCUGCCGUGCAAAUCUCCCAACACGUGGAAGACCUGUUUCGAAGAACAGUUCUCUUCUGAAUUCUUCAUCUUGUGACAUUGGUCUGUUGUUUUUUUUAAGAGAAAACAGAAAUUUUGGUUCAUUUGAGUAAAAUGAGUUGCUGGAAAUCGCUUCUCAUAGCCAGUAAACCUAUCUCUGUAGUGUAAGGAACAAAAUAUUAUGUAAAGCUGAGAAGAUUUGUUUUGUACGUAGAAAAAUGUUCAUUAAUCCUGGGGCUUAUGUGCCUUUUCAGACACAAAAUGGAAUAGCUAGUAUUAAGGAAAAAGUAGAUAUUAGUCUGCUGGUAGGAUGUUUUCUGAUAAUCUUUUAUUUGGUACGAAAACACAGCUAUAUAUGUUUUCAUUUCACAAGCAGCAUUUCCAAGUCUGGAAUCCAACUGUGCUUGCUGGACAUUAAAACAGCCGUAUCGAGUAAUACCUGAACUUGAACUGGGAUCAGCUGUGAAUGCUGCACCAGCUGAGAAAGACAUUAAAGAAAUUGUUGAUAACACAGAAUUGGGCUUCACAAAAUGGGGCUUUAUUUUGAAAUGGACGUCAUUACAAAAAAUAGCUACAUAAGAUUGAAUAGGACCCAUUCAAGUAAAACACUACAGUUUGCUCAGACCCCAUGAAGCAGCUCAGGUUCUUUUGCACUUGUUUUCACUUCUCCCCCAAAGUGCUCUGCUGUGGCUCCUUAACAUCAAAAGCUUUUCUAGAGAGAGAUGGAGGUGCUGACAGACUUUUUCUGCUGAAGGAGAGGGCAGGUGGAGGCAUAAUGGUGCCAGAAACGAGUCAGCACACAGCCCUUAGCAUGAGCCUGUGCAGACCCUACACGACAGCACUGGGUUGUGAGCAGCACGCACUGUGCUUGUAUUUCUGGCCUCUCCCCUGAACCAACAGCCACAGGCUGCUUUAGGGGAACUAAUUCAAGGUUGUGCUUUUGCAAAAGACAGCACAACUUUUGAGAUUAAAUCUAAGAGAAAAAUUGAUUUCUGCUCUAUGAGUGCUGCUGUUACAUUUACUCCUCCUUUAUGUCACUGUGUUAGAACUGUGCUUUUGUAUGUGCCGUUAUCAGCUGCUACGUUUUGGAUGUCACCUUUUAGUAUGGUGUUGGGUUUUGCCUGAGCCUCCAUAAUCUCUUGUGCUGCUUUCCUGUUUUACCCAUUUGAACUGUUUGAGCCAGACUGUAAUUUUUUCUCUCUUAGAGAACACUUACCCAAACCUGAAGUUCUCUGACCUCUUGCUUUGUUAGCUGGUUCUUU
rnacentral:lncRNA from 1 species